CCUACGGGUGGCAGCAGUGAGGAAUAUUGGUCAAUGGACGCGAGUCUGAACCAGCCAAGUAGCGUGAAGGAUGACUGCCCUAUGGGUUGUAAACUUCUUUUAUAUGGGAAUAAAAUGUUCCACGUGUGGCUUUUUGUAUGUACUUUAUGAAUAAGGAUCGGCUAACUACGUGCCAGCAGCCGCGGUAAUACGUAGGGGGCAAGCGUUAUCCGGAUUUACUGGGUGUAAAGGGAGCGUAGAUCGCUUGACAAGUCAGUUGUGAAAGUCAAGGGCUCAACCCUGGAAUUGCAUUUGAAACUGGCAGGCUUGAGUACAGGAGAGGUAAGCGGAAUUCCUAGUGUAGCGGUGAAAUGCGUAGAUAUUAGGAAGAACUCCGAUUGCGAAGGCAGCUUACUAAACUGUAACUGACAUUGAGGCUCGAAAGCGUGGGGAGCAAACAGGAUUAGAUACCCGGGUAGUC
rnacentral:rRNA from 1 species